rnacentral:rRNA from 1 species
GAUGAACGCUGGCGGCGUGCUUAAUACAUGCAAGUCGAACGAAGAUGUUCUUGAGUUUACUCGAGAGCUCUUAGUGGCGGACGGGUGAGUAACGCGUUGGUGACCUGCCCUAAAGAAGGGAACAACCUCGGGAAACUGAGGCUAAUACCCUAUGUGCUUAUUUAGAUUAGAUGCUUUAUAAGUAAAGGUUCUGUGGACGAAAGGCCACGGUGCCACUUUAGGAGGGGCCUGCGUACCAUCAGCUAGUUGGUAGGGUAAUGGCCUACCAAGGCAAAGACGGGUAGGGGACCUGAGAGGGUGGCCCCCCACAAUGGAACUGAAACACGGUCCAUACACCUACGGGUGGCAGCAGUAGGGAAUAUUGCACCAUGGGCGAAAGCCUGAUGCAGCAACGCCGCGUGAGUGAUGAAGGCCUUCGGGUCGUAAAACUCUUUUCAAGGGGAAGAGGAAGGACG